rnacentral:rRNA from 1 species
ACGCUCGACACCUACGGGAGGCGGCAGUGAGGAAUAUUGGUCAAUGGGCGGCUAGCCUGAACCAGCCAAGUAGCGUGAAGGAUGAAGGCUCUAUGGGUCGUAAACUUCUUUUAUAUAAGAAUAAAGUGCAGUAUGUAUACUGUUUUGUAUGUAUUAUAUGAAUAAAGAUCGGCUAACUCCGUGCCAGCAGCCGCGGUAAUCUGAGCGGGCUGGCAAGGC